CAAAUUUAAAGCCCCAAGUCUAUAAAAAUAAGUCGGUUUGGUUCGCAGCGUCGAAAAAAAUUAAUUAAUUGUAAUUUCCCAUAUAAGGAAUAGAUUUCUUCUGCUCUGCGAUCUCGUUCAGAGAAAGUUCCGUUUUAGAAGGUUUAACGCCUAGCCCGCAUUUGUCUUGCCAUUCCCAGCAAACCAACUAACGUGCCUUUUGCGAGAGUUCCGCAAAAUGCUCGCAAGCGAGCUUGUGUACAAGCGACAUGGUUUUGUGUCGCAAAACGCUCGCAAACGAGUUCGCAAGCGAGCCAAAAAUUAGCUCUACUUCUUGUGUGGCAAAACGCUCGCAAACGAGCUCGCGAGCGGGAGUUUUACAAUAGGAAAGUGCGCUGCGACUGUGCUGCCGGUCGAAAGCCAAAAAAAGCAAGCCUUCGUGUGCCUUCGGUCCGGCAAUUCUCCUUCGGCUUUGUGUUCACGUCUCGACAGUUGACGUGUCGACAGAUUAGUGGUCGAAAAGUCAUUUGUGUUUUUCCUUUUUUACAUGUGUCGAGCAUUAGAAACAAGUGCAAAUAAAGCGUGCGUUCCUUGCGCCGUCAUUUCAAUUAUUUUCGUCCAACUGUGCAGUGCUAAGCUAAACAUCUCUACCAUCUCUUACGCAUUUAAAAGAAAUUUCUGCCAAUCGCCGAACAUAUAUCGGAGAGGCUCGACACGUGCAAAGAGCUACUGGAGAUUUUGAGGUUAAAUUGAAUCAUAUGCAAAAUAUUUCGAAAGUUUUUCUCCUGGCGUGGGACAGACUCCAAAAAGUGUGUAAGAGGACUUCGAACCACUUUAGCACUACGAAAUGCAUUUAAACAGAAGUUUGCGCUCGACGAUCAGGAUUUCGACCAUACAACUCAAAAAUAUUUCCAGUAUGCUCAGGAACGGAAGGCCAGAUUGGAAAAAAGUGAUGCAAAAAAACUUAAAUUUUAGUACAUAGUUCAUACAUA
rnacentral:sRNA from 1 species